UGGGGAAUUUUGGACAAUGGGCGAAANCCUGAUCCAGCAAUGCCGCGUGUGUGAAGAAGGCCUUCGGGUUGUAAAGCACUUUUGUCCGGAAAGAAAUCCUUGGCUCUAAUACAGUCGGGGGAUGACGGUACCGGAAGAAUAAGCACCGGCUAACUACGUGCCAGCAGCCGCGGUAAUACGUAGGGUGCAAGCGUUAAUCGAAAUUACUGGGCGUAAAGCGUGCGCAGGCGGUUUGCUAAGACCGAUGUGAAAUCCCCGGGCUCAACCUGGGAACUGCAUUGGUGACUGGCAGGCUAGAGUAUGGCAGAGGGGGGUAGAAUUCCACGUGUAGCAGUGAAAUGCGUAGAGAUGUGGAGGAAUACCGAUUGCGAAGGCAGCCCCCUGGGCCAAUACUGACGCUCAUGCACGAAAGCGUGGGGAGCAAACAGGAUUAGAUACCCUGGUAGUCCACGCCCUAAAACGAUGUCAACUAGUUGUUGGGGAUUCAUUUCCUUAGUAACGUAGCUAACGCGUGAGGUUGACCGCCUGGGGAGUACGGUCGCAAGAUUAAAACUUAAAGGAAUUGACGGGGUCAUAGCUGUUUCCU
rnacentral:rRNA from 1 species